CUACAGUAAACGUUUGUUUUGGACUGCAUAACUCCUUUAAUAUAACCAUAAAUAAUGUCAUAAAAGGUCUGUUCAUUCAAUAAACCGGGCAAAAUCUGUAUGAACGUAUACGUAGAAAUAAUAUUGAGGACACACUGCACGAUAAUGAAACCUUUAGUUUGAUUAAAAGUCGAUUAAUAUUUCUGUUUUUAUUAAAUAAAUAUUCUAUGUUGGCUCUAAACAGGCAACUUUCUUUCUUGGAAGCAGCACUGGAAGAAGCACUUUACUUUCAUCUUUUAUAUCUUUAUUUACUUUUAUUAUGUUAUUAUUGGCGGAGGCGCGUAAGGCGCGUGUCCGUAUACCGAAUGCUUUGAUCACGUGAUUAUUCAAACCAGGAGACGCGCAAUCUGGAUUAACCGCUGUUCUCCUCAGACGAGUGUUUCGGUGGUAUUAUGAGAUCCCUUUCUUGGUGUGUCUUGAUGUUUUAUAUUGGCUAAAGACAAGAUGUGUCUGCAAAUGCUGGUUCCAUGUCACAUUGCUUAUUCGAGACUAGAUCUACAAAUAACACUGCAGAUUUUGUUACCAUCAACUUGCAUUAUACAACUGACAGACUGAAACGGUUGGACUCAAAAAUCUACAUUUGUGUUCCACUGGAGAAACAAAGUCACCUACAUCUUGGAUGGCCUGGGGACUACCUGACCUGUUCCUGUUAAGAGCUAGUCACUCUUUGUGGAAUGUUCCUGGCCCAUUUUUCCCAAGUUUUCACAAAAGUUUUUUCAAUGACCUCAAAAUUGAUGUGUAA